rnacentral:lncRNA from 1 species
CCAGACUUACCUUAGACACCAACUGAUUAAUUAGCUUCAAUUUGAUCCACCAAAAGAUUUGAGCUCAACCACGGAGCCAUAAUCAUGAUCCAUUUAUUAAGGUCAAAAAUAUAGACUUGAUCAAACUUCAACUAUUGAGAUUAAUCUAGAGAAAUUCUGACCUAAUCUAAUUCAAUACUUGAUUAGAUUUAACCAAUUUCUC